UACAGAGGGGGCAAGCGUUGUUCGGAAUUACUGGGCGUAAAGGGCGCGUAGGCGGCCUGUUAAGUCGAACGUGAAAUCCCCAGGCUCAACCUGGGAACUGCGUCCGAUACUGGCAGGCUUGAAUCCGGGAGAGGGAUGUGGAAUUCCAGGUGUAGCGGUGAAAUGCGUAGAUAUCUGGAGGAACACCGGUGGCGAAGGCGGCAUUCUGGACUGUAACUGACACUGAUGAACGAAAGCCAGGGGAGCAAACGGG
rnacentral:rRNA from 1 species